rnacentral:rRNA from 1 species
GACGAACGCUGGCGGCGUGCUUAACACAUGCAAGUCGAACGGAAAGGCCCUGCUUUUGUGGGGUGCUCGAGUGGCGAACGGGUGAGUAACACGUGAGUAACCUGCCCUUGACUUUGGGAUAACUUCAGGAAACUGGGGCUAAUACCGGAGAGGAGCUCCUGCUGCAUGGUGGGGGUUGGAAAGUUUCGGCGGUUGGGGAUGGACUCGAGGCUUAUCAGCUGGUUGGUGGGGUAGUGGCUUACGAAGGCUUUGACGGGUAGCCGGCCUGAGAGGGUGACCGGCCACAUUGGGACUGAGAGACGGCGCAGACGCCUACGGGAGGCAGCGGUGGAGAAUCUGGCACAAUGGGCGGAAGCCUGAUGCAGCAACGUCGCGUGCGGGAUGACGGCCUUCGGGUUGUAAACCGCUUUCGCCUGUGACGAAGCGGGAGUGACGGUAAUGGGUAAAGAAGCACCGGCUAACUACGUG